AUUCGGUGUAUGGAAGGACUGUAAGGUGUACAUGUCCAACUGGCAGGUGUCAUCUGACCUUGACCUCAUUUUCAUGGUUCAGUGGUCAAAGUUAAGUUUUUGAGUUUUGGUCUUUUUUUCUAAUACUAUGUGCAAUAGUUCAACUAUAUUUGGUAUGUGCAUACUUUGCAAGGUCCUCAUGCCCGUCAGACAGUUUUCACUUGACCUCGACCUCAUUUCAUGGAUCAGUGAACAAGGUUAAGUUUUGGUGGUCAAGUCCAUAUCUCAGAUACUAUAAGCAAUAGGUCUAGUAUAUUCGGUGUAUGGAAGGACUGUAAGGUGUACAUGUCCAACUGGCAGGUGUCAUCUGACCUUGACCUCAUUUUCAUGGUUCAGUGGUUAUAGUUAAGUUUUUGUGUUUUGGUCUGUUUUUCUUAUACUGUAUGCAAUAGGUCUACUAUAUUUGGUGUAUGGAAAUAUUUUAUGAUCUAUUUGGCAGUCACGCAGGUUUUAUUUGACCUUGACCUAAUUUUCAAGGUUCAUUGCUCAGUGUUAAGUUUUUGUGUUUUGGUCUGUUUUUCUUAAACUAUAAGCAAUAGGUCAACUCUAUUUGUUGUAUGGAAGAAUUGUUAGCUGUACAUGCCUGCCUAGCAUGGUUCAUCUGACCUUGACCUCAUUUUCAUGGUUCAUUGCUCAGUGUUAAGUUUUUGUGUUUUGG